rnacentral:rRNA from 1 species
CACUGCGCCGAAAAUGUACCGGGGCUAAACAUAUUACCGAAGCUGUGGAUUGUCCUUUGGACAAUGGUAGGAGAGCGUUCUAAGGGCGUUGAAGCAUGAUCGUAAGGACAUGUGGAGCGCUUAGAAGUGAGAAUGCCGGUGUGAGUAGCGAAAGACGGGUGAGAAUCCCGUCCACCGAUUGACUAAGGUUUCCAGAGGAAGGCUCGUCCGCUCUGGGUUAGUCGGGUCCUAAGCUGAGGCCGACAGGCGUAGGCGAUGGAUAACAGGUUGAUAUUCCUGUACCACCUAUAAUCGUUUUAAUCGAUGGGGGGACGCAGUAGGAUAGGCGAAGCGUGCGAUUGGAUUGCACGUCUAAGCAGUAAGGCUGAGUAUUAGGCAAAUCCGGUACUCGUUAAGGCUGAGCUGUGAUGGGGAGAAGACAUUGUGUCUUCGAGUCGUUGAUUUCACACUGCCGAGAAAAGCCUCUAGAUAGAAAAUAGGUGCCCGUACCGCAAACCGACACAGGUAGUCAAGAUGAGAAUUCUAAGGUGAGCGAGCGAACUCUCGUUAAGGAACUCGGCAAAAUGACCCCGUAACUUCGGGAGAAGGGGUGCUCUUUAGGGUUAACGCCCAGAAGAGCCGCAGUGAAUAGGCCCAAGCGACUGUUUAUCAAAAACACAGGUCUCUGCUAAACCGUAAGGUGAUGUAUAGGGGCUGACGCCUGCCCGGUGCUGGAAGGUUAAGAGGAGUGGUUAGCUU